UCCUACGGGAGGCAGCAGAGGGGAAUUUUGCGCAAUGGGGGAAACCCUGACGCAGCAACGCCGCGUGGAGGAUGAAGUCUCUUGGGACGUAAACUCCUUUCGAUCGGGACGAUAAUGACGGUACCGAUAGAAGAAGCCCCGGCUAACUUCGUGCCAGCAGCCGCGGUAAUACGAGGGGGGCAAGCGUUGUUCGGAAUUAUUGGGCGUAAAGGGCGCGUAGGCGGUUUGGCAAGUUUGGUGUGAAAUCUUCGGGCUCAACUCGAAGUCUGCACCGAAAACUGCCGGGCUUGAGUAUGGGAGAGGUGAGUGGAAUUUCCGGUGUAGCGGUGAAAUGCGUAGAUAUCGGAAGGAACACCUGAGGCGAAAGCGGCUCACUGGACCAUAACUGACGCUGAGGCGCGAAAGCUAGGGGAGCAAACAGGAUUAGAUACCCUGGUAGUCCACGCCCUAAACGAUGAACACUCGAUGUUGGCGAUAUACGGUCAGCGUCUAAGCGAAAGCGUUAAGUGUUCCACCUGGGGAGUACGCCCGCAAGGGUGAAACUCAAAUGAAUUGACGGA
rnacentral:rRNA from 1 species